UAAGGAAUAUUGGACAAUGGACGCAAGUCUGAUCCAGCCAUGCCGCGUGAAGGAUGACUGCCCUCUGGGUUGUAAACUUCUUUUAUAGGGGAAGAAAGUUAUUUUUUAGGAUAUUUGACGGUACCCUAUGAAUAAGCACCGGCUAACUCCGUGCCAGCAGCCGCGGUAAUACGGAGGGUGCAAGCGUUAUCCGGAUUCACUGGGUUUAAAGGGUGCGUAGGCGGGUAUGUAAGUCAGUGGUGAAAUACCGGAGCUUAACUUCGGAACUGCCAUUGAUACUAUAUAUCUUGAAUAUUGUGGAGGUAAGCGGAAUAUGUCAUGUAGCGGUGAAAUGCUUAGAGAUGACAUAGAACACCGAUUGCGAAGGCAGCUUGCUACGCAAAUAUUGACGCUGAGGCACGAAAGCGUGGGGAUCAAACAGGAUUAGAUACCCUGGUAGUCCACGCCCUAAAACGAUGAUUACUCGACAUUAGCGAUACACAGUUAGUGUCUGAGCGAAAAGCAUUAAGUAAUCCACCUGGGAAGUACGACCGCAAGGUUGAAAACUUAAAUGAAUUGACGGGGUCAUAGCUGUUUCCU
rnacentral:rRNA from 1 species